AUGAAGAAUCCAAAAGAAGUACAAAGAAAAGCAUCAAGUGUCAUUGAACUUUCAAGCAUGGAAUCAUUACAAAUACCAUUUCAAAAUCAUAAGCUCAUUGUCCUUACCAUCAAUACAUUUACAUCAAAAAUACUCCUAAGCCUAAACUCCUUCAUGCCAUGUUUCAUGUUUAUCCUCUUCAAACUAUGUACACCCGUACCUUUUAUUCCAUCUUCAUGCGAAAGCCUACGCCUUCACUAUGCCCCAGCUAAUCCUCAAAGCCGUCUCCAUUCAUGA